rnacentral:tRNA from 1 species
GGGUGCGUGGCCGAGUGGUUAAGGCGCCUGCGUCAGGUGCAGGUCUGUUUCGUUAACAGGCGCGAGUUCGAGUCUCGCCACAUCCA